GAUGAAGAACGUAGCGAAAUGCGAUAAGUAAUGUGAAUUGCAGAAUUCAGUGAAUCAUCGAAUCUUUGAACGCACCUUGCGCCCUUUGGCCAUUCCGAAGGGCAUGCCUGUUUGAGUAUCAUGAACACCUCAACUCUUUAUGGUUUUCCAUGAUGAGCUUGGACUCUGGGGGUUUUGCUGGCUCACAGUCGGCUCCUCUAAAAUGAAUCAGCUUACCAGUGUUUGGUGGCUAUCAUGGGUGUGAUAACUAUCUACGCUUGUGGUUUUUCCACCAGGUAACCUUCAGCAGUGGAGGUUCGCUGGAGCUCAUAGAUGUCUCUCCUCAGUGAGGACAGCCCUUUGAAUGUUUGAUCUCAAAUCAGGUAGGACUACCCGCUGAACUUAAGCAUAUCAAUAAGCGGAGGA
rnacentral:misc_RNA from 1 species